rnacentral:lncRNA from 1 species
CUCCGUAGUUACUUGUCGUCGCUGCUAAAAAACUUAUGUUGUUGCCAGUUGGCCUGCUCCUUGCUAUCUGAAGUAUAUAUUUUUUGUCUAUCGCUCAUUCACUAUCUGAAGAAUUUUAUGAAGGUAAUUUUAGUGUGUGUUUAGCUUUCAGUUUUUGCUUCUACUUCACAGAGUGGAAGAUCGUAAGAAAACAUUGGAUGAUCUUUAACAAUUAUUCUUAGAAGUAAACCUGAGCAGUAUUUGAUUAUAUAUUGUGAGUCACUGAAAUGUAUAGUGUUUUUUCUUCAGGAUAUGGAUGACUAUCUGAAGGGAUGCAGGUUUCUUCCUAAACUUAAGAAUGAGAUACCUGGUGAAACAAAUGCUCCCUAGUCCCUACAGGGAAUGGUUGAGCAGCCUAGAGAAUUUAGUACUGAUCAUGGUAAGGCCGACAAAGCCUGAAAUCUCAUUUUGAUCCACGUUCAAAGAUUACAUGCUAGCAUAUAUACUUGAAGUUGGCAUGGAAUAUCAAAAUUAAAAAUAGACUUCGCCUAUUCCCUGUUUUGAAGAGCAGUGGGAAUCAAUUUUCUGAUGUCCUUUGUUGGCGAUUUCCCUAUCCAUGAAAUGAUAAAUUUUGAACAGAUG